rnacentral:lncRNA from 1 species
CUGAUUUCUACCACCUGCUUCCUGAAAAACAGGAGCAAAUACUCAAGGAUUCAUUGACAGCGUUUCCACUCAUCCUGUUUGGGAUACAUGUUUGGGUUGGCCUGUGCUUGUGAGAGCAUGUGUCUGUGUGUCACUGAGAGAGCACCACCUGCUCUGGGGAACUGGGCAAAAUCCCCUCUGCACUGCUGGACAUGCAUUCAAGAAAAGUGGUUGGCAAGCAAGUUCAUAGCUCCAGCUUUCAAGGUCCUCUGCAUCAUCCUGCAGUAGAACCAGAAGGAAUAGAAGGAAUACUGGGAGGAUACUUCCAAAUCGCCCCCUCCACUCCCCCCCUCAGACACAAAAGCCAGCCAACCAAACAAGCAAGCAAAACCUAAUCCACCAAAAAAUGAAAAAUUAAAACCUAUUAAACAGAUUUAUCUGUUCUUGUCUACUCUAAUUGCAAAGUAAUAGUUGUCAUUGUUUUAAUUAAGAUGCCAUUUUUUUUCUUGAUUGCUUUAGUCUUAAUUCCAGCUUCUAGGAGAAAGCUGUCCAUUCUUGGUUCCUUGCUAUACUUCCCUAUAACAAGCUGAGUUCACAUUAUUCAAACCUCGUAAGACCUUUCCAGUAUGGAAUGAAGUCUGGAUUUCUUUGAAGUCAGUAGUAAAAUUCCUACUGACUUUCACAGGAUUUUUGCCCACAGAGAUUUCAGUAUACGCCAUCUCUUUGCUGACUUUAUUUAAGACCUCAUUAAAGUUUUAAAUCUGCUAAAGCUGUAUUUUUCUGAUUUUUCUCAUCAUUGUCCUUCCUUUCAAAAAGAAUAAAUACAUUUGCAAUGCAUCA